rnacentral:misc_RNA from 1 species
AAUGGGUGCAAAAUAAUGUACGAAACUAUGGAAAUGUCAAAUUCCGUUACAUUGCAGUUGGAAAUGAGGUGAAGCCCUCAGAUCCAUUCGCAAGGUUCCUAGUUCCUGCCAUGCAAAAUAUUCGCAGUGCACUCAAUUCAGCUGGUCUUGGGAAUAUUAAAGUUUCUACAGCUAUUGAUACUGGAGUCCUUACAGACCAGUCCUUCCCUCCUUCUAAUGGGGCUUUCCGGCAAGAAUAUCGACCAAUUCUUGAUCCUGUUAUUGGAUUUCUUGUGAACAACAAAUCUCCAUUGCUCGUCAACUUAUAUCCAUACUUCAGUUACAUUGGCAAUACUCGAGACAUCCGUCUUGAUUAUGCUCUUUUCACA